rnacentral:rRNA from 1 species
GACCGGGAUGGACGCACCUCUGGUGCACCAGUUGUCACGCCAGUGGCACAGCUGGGUAGCUAUGUGCGGACGGGAUAAGCGCUGAAAGCAUCUAAGCGUGAAGCCCCCUUCAAGAUGAGACUUCCCAUAGCGCAAGCUAGUAAGACCCCUUAUAGACGAUGAGGUUGAUAGGUUCGGUGUGGAAGUGCAGUAAUGCAUGGAGCUGACGAAUACUAAUCGGUCGAGGACUUAUCCACA